rnacentral:rRNA from 1 species
AUGAUGCGCCUCCUCACCGGCUCCAGCUCCCCGUCCUCCUCCUCCUCCUUCCGCUUCCAGCCGCGCUCCGUCGACGCCUUCGGCUCCACCGUCAUCGCCGAGGGCGUCGACGACAAGGCCAAGGCGUACUGGGUGCACGCCUGGACCGUGGGUGCCGAUGGGGUGAUCACCCAGCUGCGCGAGUACUUCAACACCGACCUCACCGUCACGCGCCUCGCCGCCGCCGCCGCGUCCAAGUGCGUCUGGCAGAGCCGCCGCCCCGACCGCGCCCGCAACUCCCUCCCGGGCCUCGUCCUCGCCCUCUAA